rnacentral:rRNA from 1 species
UGACGAAGCGACGCUGCGUGUGGGAAGAAGGCCUUCGGGUUGUAAACCACUGUCGGGAGUUAGGAAAUGUAAGGGUGUUAAUAGCAUCCUUACUUGACUAAGGCUCCGGAGGAAGCCACGGCUAACUCUGUGCCAGCAGCCGCGGUAAUACAGAGGCGGCAAGCGUUGUUCGGAAUUAUUGGGCGUAAAGAGCACGUAGGCGGCCUUGCAAGUCAGUUGUGAAAGCCUUCUGCUUAACGGAAGAACAGCAGCUGAUACUGCAAGGCUAGAGUGCGGAAGGGGAGAGUGGAACUUCUGGUGGAGCGGUGAAAUGCGUAGAUAUCAGAAGGAACACCGGCGGCGAAGGCGACUCUCUGGUCCGUAACUGACGCUGAGUGUGCGAAAGCUAGGGGAGCAAACGGGAUUAGAUACCCCGGUAGUCCUAGCCGUAAACGAU